UACGAAGGGGCUAGCGUUGCUCGGAAUCACUGGGCGUAAAGCGCACGUAGGCGGCUUUUUAAGUCAGAGGUGAAAUCCUGGAGCUCAACUCCAGAACUGCCUUUGAUACUGGAGAUGUGAGUCCGGAGAGGUGAGUGGAACUGCGAGUGUAGAGGUGAAAUUCGUAGAUAUUCGCAAGAACACCAGUGGCGAAGGCGGCUCACUGGCCGGUACUGACGCUGAGGUGCGAAAGCGUGGGA
rnacentral:rRNA from 1 species